UUUUGCGGUAUCCCGACCGUGCUAAGGUAGCGAGAUAAAUUGCCCUUUAAUUGUGGGCGAGUACGAAUGGACUAACGCAAGUUUUUCUGUCUCUAUUAUAACUCUAAAAAUUGUCCUUUAGGUGAAGAGACCUAAAUUUUAUUUAAGGACAAAAAGACCCCGCAGAGCUCUGUACUCUCAUUAUAUUAUAAUAUUUAUUUAUAAAUUACUUAUUUAUACCCUCGUACUUAGCUGGGGCGGCUAAGGAACAAAUAACUUCCUUUCUAACCUUCGAUUAAUAAAUCUUAAAAAUUUAUAAUAACUAAUAAAAAAGCUACCUCGGGGAUAACAGAUUAAUUCUCUUUGAGAGUUCACAUUGAAAAGAGAGAUUGACACCUCGAUGUUGGCUUAAGACACCCAGGAAAUUGUAACAGUUUCCAAUGGUAGGUUUGUUCACCCUUUAAAGUCUUACAUGAUCUGAGNUNAAACCGGAGAA
rnacentral:rRNA from 1 species